rfam:Populus trichocarpa isolate Nisqually-1 chromosome 5, whole genome shotgun sequence.
UAAUCUGUCUGGGGUAAAUCAUCUUCUAGUUAUAGCAGACCCAUACUUGACUACUUAAAAUCACCCGUUAUUAUAGGAUCGAUUACAUCAUUCUCCUUGGGUUGGAUAGAACUCGUCCUCGAGUUCAUUUCCUCCUUCAAAUAAAAA